CGGGGUGCUCGAGUGGCGAACGGGUGAGUAACACGUGGGUGAUCUGCCCUGCACUUUGGGAUAAGCCUGGGAAACUGGGUCUAAUACCGAAUAUGAUCAUGCUCUUCAUGGGGUGUGGUGGAAAGCUUUUGCGGUGUGGGAUGGGCCCGCGGCCUAUCAGCUUGUUGGUGGGGUAAUGGCCUACCAAGGCGACGACGGGUAGCCGGCCUGAGAGGGUGACCGGCCACACUGGGACUGAGAUACGGCCCAGACUCCUACGGGAGGCAGCAGUGGGGAAUAUUGCACAAUGGGCGCAAGCCUGAUGCAGCGACGCCGCGUGAGGGAUGACGGCCUUCGGGUUGUAAACCUCUUUCAAUAGGGACGAAGCGCAAGUGACGGUACCUAUAGAAGAAGGACCGGCCAACUACGUGCCAGCAGCCGCGGUAAUACGUAGGGUCCGAGCGUUGUCCGGAAUUACUGGGCGUAAAGAGCUCGUAGGUGGUUUGUCGCGUUGUUCGUGAAAACUCACAGCUUAACUGUGGGCGUGCGGGCGAUACGGGCAGACUGGAGUACUGCAGGGGAGACUGGAAUUCCUGGUGUAGCGGUGGAAUGCGCAGAUAUCAGGAGGAACACCGGUGGCGAAGGCGGGUCUCUGGGCAGUAACUGACGCUGAGGAGCGAAAGCGUGGGGAGCGAACAGGAUUAGAUACCCUGGUAGUCCA
rnacentral:rRNA from 1 species